rnacentral:tRNA from 1 species
GUAGCUUAGUUGGUAAAGUGCUUGCCUUGCAAGCAUGAGGACCGAAGUUCAAUUCCUUGC